GAUGAAGAACGCAGCGAAAUGCGAUAAGUAAUGUGAAUUGCAGAAUUCAGUGAAUCAUCGAAUCUUUGAACGCACAUUGCGCCCGCCAGCAUUCUGGCGGGCAUGCCUGUUCGAGCAUCAUUUCAACCCUCGAGCCCCCCCGGGGGCCUCGGUGUUGGGGGACGGCACACCAGCCGCCCCCGAAAUGCAGUGGCGACCCCGCCGCAGCCUCCCCUGCGUAGUAGCACACACCUCGCACCGGAGCGCGGAGGCGGUCACGCCGUAAAACGCCCAACUUUCUUAGAGUUGACCUCGGAUCAGGUAGGAAUACCCGCUGAACUUAAGCAUAUCAAUAAGCGGAGGA
rnacentral:misc_RNA from 1 species